rnacentral:rRNA from 1 species
CCUACGGGAGGCAGCAGUGGGGAAUAUUGCACAAUGGGGGGAACCCUGAUGCAGCGACGCCGCGUGGGUGAGGAAGUACUUCGGUAUGUAAAGCCCUAUCAGCAGGGAAGAAAAUGACGGUACCUGACUAAGAAGCCCCGGCUAACUACGUGCCAGCAGCCGCGGUAAUACGUAGGGGGCAAGCGUUAUCCGGAUUUACUGGGUGUAAAGGGAGCGUAGACGGCGUGCCAAGUCUGAUGUGAAAGGCCGGGGCUCAACCCCGGGACUGCAUUGGAAACUGGCAUGCUGGAGUGGCGGAGGGGCAAGCGGAAUUCGUAGUGUAGCGGUGAAAUGCGUAGAUAUUGGGAGGAACACCGAUGGCGAAGGCAGCUUGCUGGACGGUAACUGACGUUGAGGCUCGAAAGCGUGGGGAGCGAACAGGAUUAGAUACCCUAGUAGUC